rnacentral:rRNA from 1 species
GUACACACCGCCCGUCACACCWUGGGAGUGGGUUGCAAAAGAAGUAGGUAGCUUAACCUUCGGGAGGGCGCUUACCACUUUGUGAUUCAUGACUGGGGUGAAGUCGUAACAAGGUAACCGUAGGUGAACCUGCAGAAGGAUCA